rnacentral:rRNA from 1 species
CAGCAGUAGCCGCGGGAAUACAGAGGGUGCGAGCGUUAAUCGGAUUUACUGGGCGUAAAGCGUGCGUAGGCGGCUUUUUAAGUCGGAUGUGAAAUCCCUGAGCUUAACUUAGGAAUUGCAUUCGAUACUGGGAAGCUAGAGUAUGGGAGAGGAUGGUAGAAUUCCAGGUGUAGCGGUGAAAUGCGUAGAGAUCUGGAGGAAUACCGAUGGCGAAGGCAGCCAUCUGGCCUAAUACUGACGCUGAGGUACGAAAGCAUGGGGAGCAAACAGGAUUAGAUACCCGUGUAGUCCCUGUCUCUUAUAC